rnacentral:tRNA from 1 species
AGAAAUAUAGCUCAAUUGGUAGAGCAGUGGUUUCCAAAACCAAAGGCUGUAGGUUCAAGUCCUAUUAUUUCUG